rfam:Callithrix jacchus chromosome 14, whole genome shotgun sequence
UCAAGAAACUGUAGACAACUACAAAAUAUGUCUGUCCCAUGGCAAGAUUUUUCAAUUCUUUUCUCUUUUUUCAUCUACACUUUCUUUUAAGCUAAGCAUAUUAAGAUUUAAUCAAGUGACUUUGCAUCUAAGACUCUGGAAAAGUUGAGACCUCACACAAAGAUAUUCAUCUUAGAAGUUCACAAAC